UGCCAGCCGCCGCGGUAAUACGAGGGGUCCAAGCGUUGUUCGGAAUUACUGGGCGUAAAGCGGGUGUAGGCGGCUAGGUUAGUCGGAUGUGAAAGCCCAGGGCUCAACCCUGGAAGUGCAUCCGAUACUGCCUAGCUUGAAUACUGGAGAGGGAAGUGGAAUUCCUGGUGUAGCGGUGAAAUGCGUAGAUAUCAGGAGGAACAUCGGUGGCGAAGGCGGCUUCCUGGCCAAUACUGACGCUGAGGCGCGAAAGCGUGGGUAGCAAACAGGAUUAGAUA
rnacentral:rRNA from 1 species